rnacentral:lncRNA from 1 species
UUGUAGAAAAAGAACCAAGAAGAAAGAAUAGUAGCAUAGUUCUUCAAACCAAGUCACAGAUCAGCAUAACAAAGAUAGGCCCACCAAGCUCUCCCAAAAUAUGAAAACAAAAACAAACAACCGAGCAAAAUUCAAAAUCCUGAAAAGGUAUAUUUAAACAAACAAAAUUAGUCAAAGGACAACUAUUCCAAUCUUGAAAAGGUAUAUUUAAAUAAAAAUGAUCCAUUUAUCCCACAUAACAAUGGUAGAUAAUUUUGCCGAAACAACCGAGCAAAAUUCAAUAUGAAACGUUACAAUUUAAGCUUCUACUUUAAUACUAGAGGAAUUUGUGGGCCAAUGAAACAGGUCAUCAUAAUAACAAACACCACCUAACCAAGUUGUCCGAAAUCCUUAUCUUGGGAAGGGAAGAGUUACUACAGAAUUUUGUAUGCUAAACCACCGAGUAAAACGUUACAAAAACUCGCCAAAACUUCAACACUGGAAGAAAUAAAUAUAACUUAUAAGAUACCAAUUAUUUCCCAUAGAUAAAAGGGGAAGUGUAUGUGAUAAACUCACCAUAAGCAUUCACAAAGGGAUCAAGCAUGGAUGCUGAAACAACUAUAACGAAAUGUGAAGAAUUAAAAUAUGAGUACAAAUCACCAAGCCUAGGAAAUAAUAUGUAACACAGCUAACUGAACAUUCUGGUUCAUGUGUAAGAUUGAUUCGUCCACAGAGGAUAUGCAGCAGAGACACUUGAGACGGUGAAUCUUACUCUGUUAACACUUAACACCACAUGAAAAUUAAAAUUAGGCUGUAACAAACAGAUUGAAGAAAAAGAAACAAGAAAUAAUAGUAGCAUAGUUCUUCAAACCAAGUCACAUAUCAGCAUAACGAAGAUAGGCCCACCAAGCUCUCCCAAAACACGAAAACAAAAACAAACAAAAAAAUCUCAAAUCAUGUAUAGUUUUCAAUAUUAAUAAGAAAGAAUAAGUAUUAAAGGUAAAUCAUAGAGGAGCAAAUCCAGAAGACUAGACAACAAGAAUUG